rnacentral:rRNA from 1 species
GACGAACGCUGGCGGCGUGCCUAAUACAUGCAAGUUGAGCGCUGAAGGUUGGUACUUGUACCCACUGGAUGAGCAGCGAACGGGUGAGUAACGCGUGGGGAAUCUGCCUUUGAGCAGGGGACAACAUUUGGAAACGAAUGCUAAUACCGCAUAAAAACUUUAAACACAAGUUUUAAGUUUGAAAGAUGCAAUUGCAUCACUCAAAGAUGAUCCCGCGUUGUAUUAGCUAGUUGGUGAGGUAAAGGCUCACCAAGGCGAUGAUACAUAGCCGACCUGAGAGGGUGAUCGGCCACAUUGGGACUGAGACACGGCCCAAACUCCUACGGGAGGCAGCAGUAGGGAAUCUUCGGCAAUGGACGAAAGUCUGACCGAGCAACGCCGCGUGAGUGAAGAAGGUUUUCGGAUCGUAAAACUCUGUUGGUAGAGAAGAACGUUGGUGAGAGUGGAAAGCUCACCAAGUAACGGUAACUACCCAGAAAGGGACGGCUAACUACGUG